UAGAGUUCUAUUGGUAUCAUCUAAUUUUGCCUACCCAAAAGAUUAUAUUUGGAGUUAGGGCACAAAUCAAUUCUUUGAAGAAUAAAAUCCGAUUGGGCAUUGCCAUCAGCGACAAAGUGCCACCCUUGUUCUUCUACUCGGCGGAUGAAAGACAAUGCAUCUUCUCCGGUUUCGCCUUCUCCACAGCUAAUCAAAUAAGUGUUUGAUACGCUCUUCCUUGUCUCAGUUUCUAAUGGUCGAAGUUUUACCUUGUUGCCGCUGAUUAUUUGAUAUGCUUGGAUUUUACAUGGUUUUAGAGGGUAGUCUUGCGUGAUUUUGAUCACAUUUUGUCUAUUAUUGGGGGUGAUUAUGACUACUUCUCUAUUAGAUUGGUACUUGACCAUUUUGUGAAAAAUGUGUAGAAAAAUAUUCCAAAAUGGGUCUAAAAUGCUAGAGGGAGAAUCUGGAGUCGAAAAUGAGGAAAAACCGAACAUAGUCGGCAAGUCGCCGACUUUGUGUAGAGACAAACCAGCGUUUCCACCGGGAAUGCAGCUAAAUUUCCGAACUGAACCAGCGAGUCACCGAUUUCACAAGUUCGACGAACCAGACGAGCCACCAGGGCAUUCCUAGGGGCAUCUACUGUCAUCCCCUGGGGCGUUCCCUAGGAACAUCUCCCGUCCAUCCCAUAGGAGACGUGGGAAGACUUUUCUUGUCUGUCUCCUAGGAAAUGCGGGGGGAAGUCUCUCGUACGUCAUAUGGGACGUGUUCCGUCAGCCCCUGUGUGACUAAUACAAGUCCAGGUUACUCAGCAUAUGCGCACCUAUGUGCUGGCUGGUAAGCUCACCUCGAUUCACUAGAGGGGAUGCUUUCCGUCGAUUGAUUUCAUGCCUUCAUCUCCUAGACAGCGUGUUCUGCAUUCACUCAUGGUCCUUUGGCAUCCCCCUAAUGCCUCUUGGGUGAAGCUGAACACUAAUGGAGCCUUCUCUACAUCGACACUGGAGGCGGGAGCUUAUGGCUCUCCUUCGAGGUUUAUCGAUGGCUAUGAAGUUCUCUACUCAUAUUUGGAUGGAGCUGGACUCAGCGGAUCUGGUUACUUUACUGUCAUCAGCUUGGAUCUAUGGAGCUUAGUCAUCAUAUGGCUUUAAUUCCAGCGACAGGUUUGAUUCUCACACAUCUACAGAGGGAAACCGUGCUGCCGACUUCCUUGCAGGGAGGUGCCCAGAUCCCUGCCUUGUCCUUCUAUGAUUCAGUCUAUGCGCCUCGGUAUCUAAAUGCACUUGUUAGGAUGGACCAACUGAGAUAUCCUAACUUCCGCUUCUGACGCAGAGAUGUGGACUAAUUUUAUUAUUAUGGGAGUUCUUGUUAUUUCACUUUUAUUUUUUCUAUUUGCCCAUUAUAGUUAUAGUUCUAGUUUAGUUUUGAUAGCAUGGAGGUACUAGACUUGUGGGAUCUCC